GCCCCCAGGAAGAAAAUUGAAGAGUUCAAAGAAUUGAAAAGUUAAGCCAAUUCAUUUAAAAUAAUCUUUGACUUUCUCAUUAUCAAUAUAUGUGUAUUUUCUGCAAGGUUACAAAAACAACUGGAACAUAUGUUAAAAUAAUCUUCAGUGUCAUCUGCAGCAACUAAUUCUAGAGAACUAUCUUAUUCAAUUUCAUUUCUUACUUAUAUGGAACUAAACCUUAAUCUGCUUUUCAGGUAUGAAAUAUAUUCAUGAUUCUGUCUCAAAAUAUGAAAUCAAAAGUUAGCAUUAUAACUCCCAGCUAACUGUCAUAUUAAUUCAUCUGGAUGAACCUUGUGGUACUGAACUUUGACAAUGCUCAGGGUGUCAAAGCAAACACCUGCCCCACCCCACGCCUACCCCAAAAACAAACGAGAGGCUUUUAUAGGUUGCAAGUCCUGGUCUGGUUUAUUUAUAAAGCAAUAAAUAUUAGAAGCACAAACAAAUUGCACGUGUGUAAACAAACUGUACAAUGAUUGAUGAAAGAUGAGGGAAGGUGGUUUGGAAGACUCCAAGAAGCAUAAUACCGUCAUCCUGACUGGAAGGUAGAUGGAGAGAGAAGGCAUCUUAGAAGCAUUUGCGGUGGACAAUGGAUGGGCCUGCCUCAUCGUACUCUUGCUUGCUAAUCCACAUUUGCUGGAAGCCAGAGCAGUGAUUUCCUUCUGCAUACGAUCAGCAAUACCAGGGUACAUAGUGGUCCUUGCGGAUAUCAAUGUCACACUUCAUGAUGCUAUUGUAAGUUGUUUCAUGGAUGCCAGCAGAUUCCAUACCUGGGAACGAGUCACACACACACACACACACACACACACACACACACACACACACACAUCACAGUGCCAAUGAAGGAGGGCUGGAAGAGUGUCUCAGGACAGCGGAAGCGCUCAUUGCCAAUAGUGAUGACUUGGCCAUC
rnacentral:lncRNA from 1 species